rnacentral:rRNA from 1 species
GAUGAACGCUGGCGGCGUGCCUAAUACAUGCAAGUCGAGCGAACGGACGAGAAGCUUGCUUCUCUGAUGUUAGCGGCGGACGGGUGAGUAACACGUGGAUAACCUACCUAUAAGACUGGGAUAACUUCGGGAAACCGGAGCUAAUACCGGAUAAUAUUUUGAACCGCAUGGGUCAAAAGUGAAAGACGGUCUUGCUGUCACUUAUAGAUGGAUCCGCGCUGCAUUAGCUAGUUGGUAAGGUAACGGCUUACCAAGGCAACGAUGCAUAGCCGACCUGAGAGGGUGAUCGGCCACACUGGAGCUGAGACACGGUCCAGACUCCUACGGGAGGCAGCAGUAGGGAAUCUUCCGCAAUGGGCGAAAGCCUGACGGAGCAACGCCGCGUGAGUGAUGAAGGUCUUCGGAUCGUAAAACUCUGUUAUUAGGGAAGAACAUAUGUGUAAGUAACUGUGCACAUCCUGACGGUACCUAAUCAGAAAGCCACGGCUAACUACGUG